UCAUUUAUGGCCAGAGAUGUCAUGAUCAUUUAGGAGGCUUGCCCAGGGCAAGGCUUAUCCAUUGUACUCCAGAUGCGCUGAUCCUUAUAAUUUUCCCAAAUAUGGAACCCUGCUGCAUAGUUUGUGCUAGUGGAGGACUUCAUUUGUGUUCUUUCCUG
rnacentral:snRNA from 12 species